AUUCCAUGGUGAGGGCAAUUUUUGAUCAUCAUAUUGAAACGCUCAAAAGCCUCAUGAAACAUCUCACCAUGUUGUUGUUGGAAGCUUCUCAACCCCUUUUGUUGCAU
rnacentral:snoRNA from 2 species